UACGUAGGCAGCGAGCGUUUGUUCGGAGUUACUGGGCGUAAAGGGCGCGUAGGCGGCCACCGCAAGUCGACUGUGAAAUCUCCGGGCUUAACCCGGAAAGGUCAGCCGAUACUGCGGGGCUAGAGUGCAGAAGGGGCAACUGGAAUUCUCGGUGUAGCGGUGAAAUGCGUAGAUAUCGAGAGGAACACCUGCGGCGAAGGCGGGUUGCUGGGCUGACACUGACGCUGAGGCGCGAAAGCUAGGGGAGCGAACGGG
rnacentral:rRNA from 1 species